AUCGGAUGACGGCACACCAAGGGAGGGGCCGACAUGUUCUUCGACAACGUGGUUAUCGCCGGUGUGGUAACGGUCGGGCUGAUGUUGGCGUUCUUCGCCGGUCUGGGAAUUUUCAUCUGGAAGGAUUCGAACAAGCGCAAGCAGCGCUGAUCCUUCCCGAUUCACGAGCACGCAAGGCAUUUAGGGCGACUUCGGUCGCCCAUUUUUUUG
rnacentral:sRNA from 18 species